rnacentral:rRNA from 1 species
UACGGAGGGGGCUAGCGUUGUUCGGAAUUACUGGGCGUAAAGCGCACGUAGGCGGCCAACUAAGUCGGACGUGAAAUCCCCAGGCUCAACCUGGGAACUGCGUCUGAUACUGGAUGGCUUGAAUCCGGGAGAGGGAUGCAGAAUUCCAGGUGUAGCGGUGAAAUGCGUAGAUAUCUGGAGGAAUACCGGUGGCGAAGGCGGCAUCCUGGACCGGCAUUGACGCUGAGGAGCGAAAGCCAGGGGGAGACAAAGCGGG